UACCAUGCAAGUCCGACGUGAAAGGGGAGCAAUCCCCCGGUAGGGUGGCGAACGGGUGAGUAAGACAUGGGAAUCUGUCCCGGAGAUGGGGAUAUCCUUCCGAAAGGAGGGUUAAUACCGAAUACCGUCCGGUGGACGAGAGUCCAUCGGGGAAAGGGAGGCCUCUGGCAACAUGCUUCCGCUCCGGGAGGAGCCCAUGGCCCAUCAGCUAGUUGGGAGGGUAACGGCCUACCAAGGCGAAGACGGGUAGCUGGUCUGAGAGGACGAUCAGCCACACUGGCACUGAGACACGGGCCAGACUCCUACGGGAGGCAGCAGUGAGGAAUUUUGCGCAAUGGGGGCAACCCUGACGCAGCAACGCCGCGUGUGGGAAGAAGGCUUUCGGGUUGUAAACCACUUUUGUAAGGGACGAAGUCCUUUCGGCAAAUAACCGAGGGGGAUGACGGUACCUUGCGAAUAAGCCACGGCUAACUCUGUGCCAGCAGCCGCGGUAAGACAGGGGUGGCAAGCGUUGUUCGGAGUAACUGGGCGUAAAGGGUCUGUAGGUGGUUUUUCAAGUCUUUGGUAAAACGCCGUGGCUCAACCAUGGUUUGGCCAAGGAGACUGGGAGCUUCGAGGCUGGGAGAGGGAAGCGGAAUUUCUGGUGUAGCGGUGAAAUGCGUAGAGAUCAGAAAGAAGGCCGGUGGCGAAGGCGGCUUCCUGGAACAGACCUGACACUGAGAGACGAAAGCGUGGGGAGCAAACAGGAUUAGAUACCCUGGUAGUCCACGCCCUAAACGAUGGGAACUAAGUGUGGGGAGCAAUCCCCGUGCCGCAGCUAACGCAAUAAGUUCCCCGCCUGGGGAGUACGGCCGCAAGGUUGAAACUC
rnacentral:rRNA from 1 species